UACGUAGGGUGCAAGCGUUAAUCGGAAUUACUGGGCGUAAAGCGUGCGCAGGCGGUUUUGUAAGUCUGACGUGAAAACCCCGGGCUCAACCUGGGAAUUGCGUUGGAGACUGCAAGGCUGGAGUCUGGCAGAGGGGGGUAGAAUUCCACGUGUAGCAGUGAAAUGCGUAGAGAUGUGGAGGAACACCGAUGGCGAAGGCAGCCCCCUGGGUCAAGACUGACGCUCAUGCACGAAAGCGUGGGGAGCAAACAGG
rnacentral:rRNA from 1 species